GAUGAAGAACGCAGUGAAAUGCGAUACGUAAUGUGAAUUGCAGAAUUCAGUGAAUCAUCGAAUCUUUGAACGCACAUUGCGCCCGCCAGCACUCUGGCGGGCAUGCCUGUUCGAGCGUCAUUUCAACCAUCAAGCCCCAGGCUUGCGUUGCAGCCCUGCGGCUGCCGCAGCCUCCUAAAAGCAGUGGCGGGCUCGCUAUCACACCGAGUGCAGUAGAUUACUCUUCGCUCAGGGCGUGCAGCGGGUUCCGGCCGUGAAACCCCCUACUUUUAAAGGUUGACCUCGGAUCAGGUAGGAAUACCCGCUGAACUUAAGCAUAUCAAUAAGCGGAGGA
rnacentral:misc_RNA from 1 species